CAAACCACACGGCAACCUCCCCAGCCAAGUCUCCUAUCCCAGAGGAAGGUCCUCCAGACCAGUACAUCAGAGAAGACUCGCUCAAAGCGUGGAAGAUGGAGCAGAACAGACAGAAGGAGGAGGAACAGGUGAAGAAAGCUAAGAAAGAAAAAGGAGGGAAGGAGCGCGAGCGCGCCGACUCGUCCAAGGAGAACAAGAAAACAACCCCUCCACCACUAAGAAGAGCAGGAGGACGUGAGUAAGACCCCUGACCUGGCUGUGGGACCCCUGGAGAACAGAAGCAAAGCUGCAGUCGCCCCCGACGU